rnacentral:rRNA from 1 species
UACGUAGGGUGCAAGCGUUAAUCGGAAUUACUGGGCGUAAAGCGUGCGCAGGCGGUUCGUUGUGUCGGCGGUGAAAGCCCCGGGCUUAACCUGGGAAUGGCCGUUGAAACUGGCGAACUGGAGUGUGGCAGAGGGGGGUGGAAUUCCGCGUGUAACAGUGAAAUGCGUAGAGAUGCGGAGGAACACCGAUGGCGAGGGCAGCCCCCUGGGCUAACACUGACGCUCAGGCACGAAAGCGUGGGGAGCAAACAGG